rnacentral:lncRNA from 1 species
UGUCAGCGCGGAUCAUCAUUUGUUGUUGGUAAUAUGUGUUCGUUUGUGUUAGUUAACCCGUUGUCUGCCACGCCUUUGUUCUCAACACCACCAGCAGGGUCAAACAAAGUUCUAAAUCUGUCAACCCGUGGGCUGCUUUAUCCUUGGAAUGGGACCACUCUUAUUUUGAGGUUAACCCUGCACCGCUAUUCCAUGGACGAAAUCCAUUGGUGGAAACUGACUAGAGAUCAGUGACGACUGACUGACGUGCUGAAUGCUCACAUGCGUGCCAUCCUUCCGUCGCCUCGAGGCAUGGGGGAGUUGUGCCUGCUCCAGCUACGCGUCUAGCGAAGCGUAAUUCGACUACGCAACCGACCGCUUGUCAACUCACCCCUCGGCCCUCGCUGACUCCUAGCCUACUACCCUUGCUCUCAUCUUUCAACACAGCACGGGGUUUUGUCCUUUAGAUCGUUUGGGUGUUUGUGAUCUGUUAUGGCGGUUUCUUGAGGACGACGAUGAUGUGGCGCGAGUGUCUUCAGGGACGCUAAUCUGCCAUUUUGAUCCAAGACGCAGCGGAAACGGGUUGUUGGUUGUGACGUUUCUCACGAUGAAAAUCAAAAGGUGAUUUAGCACGUAGAAACCAAUUUUCCAAAUCAUUCAACUCAGACUUGGAAGUGC